UUUGAUACUGAAAUUAAGAUUUGAGGGAUACUGUUGAGAUUUGAGAAGAUCAAUUUAGUACCUUCAAAGAAAAGGAGUUGAAUUCUUCUAAUGGCUAUCAAUGGAGUUAAACGGCUACAGAUGGUCAAUUGAGCACCCAUAAGCAGGGUCAAGGCUUCAUCUCCAAGGUGGCUUAUGCAAUAGGUUUGGGAGACGAGCACUGCAUUUCAUGUCAUCAUGUGAAGUAAGCAGGACUUUUGAGGGCUCCCAUU
rnacentral:lncRNA from 1 species